rnacentral:rRNA from 1 species
UACGAAGGGGGCUAGCGUUGCUCGGAAUCACUGGGCGUAAAGGGUGCGUAGGCGGGUCUUUAAGUCAGGGGUGAAAUCCUGGAGCUCAACUCCAGAACUGCCUUUGAUACUGAAGAUCUUGAGUCCGGGAGAGGUGAGUGGAACUGCGAGUGUAGAGGUGAAAUUCGUAGAUAUUCGCAAGAACACCAGUGGCGAAGGCGGCUCACUGGCCCGGUACUGACGCUGAGGCGCGAAAGCCAGGGGAGCAAACGGG